rnacentral:lncRNA from 1 species
CUGUGCUGAUGGGAUGAUGUUUUCAGAAGCAAUUGCUUUUGAAAAUUAGGAUUUUUUUUUUUUUGCUAAAGAGGUUUCUGUGUUAAUGGUGAAUUGUGGGUCUUGAGUUUCAAACUGUGUUGCCUCUUUUGAUUGCCGAAUUGUGAUUGGUUCUACACUGAGAUUGUCGUCUUCUAUUUUUUGGGAUUGUCGUAACCUUGAUUAUUCAUGAAAUUGAUUCUGUCGGUUUUUGAUUAUGGCAAUGGUAG